UAUAUAUAUAUAUAUAUAUAUUGUAUUCUUUUUAUUUAAAUCAUAUCCGCAACAAAUCACCACGCAAGUAACGUUACAAUAACGCACAAAUCAUUAAAAACAAACCAGAAUUGCAAGACUUUUUUUUUUUCCAAUAACACACGACGAACUGGACAACAAGUUCUUAGAUAUCAUCAUCGAACAAAUUUGACUUUUCUAUUUCAAAAUUUGUAUCGUGAGUGAGUAUAUAAAGAAAAUUAAUCACACAUCUUUGUUCCUCAAUUCCAAAUUGGGAAGAUCUAUAUAUGGAACAAAGACGAAGAAUUAAUAAUAUAUGUGCAGCCACAAAGAAAAAGAGAAGUUAGAAUUGCCGUUGAUACACACCCCAAACCGGAACUCCGGUAACAAUCCGGCCUCCAUAUCCAUCAAUAGACGGCGUCUCCGAUCUCGGUCUCCACAACCCAGUAUCCGCCGCUUGCGACGAACAUGCUCCAUAAUCUCUUAUCGCCGUCGUUGACGAUUUAACUAAAAUCGAAAGAUUGACGAUCCCACACUUAUCACCAAACUCAUCUCUCAAUCUAUAGCUCAAGAAGUUUAAAUGACCUUCUGGUGAAUACCUUCCCAUGAAAUCCUUCGUUGGGAUUUUAGCUUCUCCGAUUUUUUUCUGAUGCCCAGAACCUGUUCGAUAAAAUACCUCAAUGGUGAUAAACCGUACAUUACCAUUGAUGGGUAUCUCUGAUUUAUAGUUCCAUGUUGGAUUGCUUCUUCUUGAUUCAUCAAGAUUAGAGUUUCGAGAUUUCUCGUCGAUCGUUACGACGCAGAGAGUCUUUUUCUUGAUGGGUCUCCGGUUAAGCUUAAGCCCUUCUGCUGAUCUCAAAUCAAUCUCCAAUGUUUUUGUCAUUGUUGUAUAGUGAUGAUGAUCGAUUAUUGAUCUACCCAAAUAUAUCAUUUGGGUUUAGUUUAUUUAUUGGACUAAUCAUUAACUAGAAUGAAAUAUUAUGUAUAUAUAUAGACAACAUCAUUUAUGUCACAACGAAGGUGACAGGGAAGUUUGGAAAGAAGACGCGCGGAGAUUUCUUCUCUUUUUCCCGCCAGCUCAUUCGAAGAGGUCGACCAAACAAAAAAAAAAGACAAAAAAAAGGAAAGGAAAUUACAUUUAAAGUUUAGAUUAGUAAUUUGUUCCUUUGAAUUUGGUUUUAUAUCAGAAAAUUGGUUUUAAAUAUAUUAUGAAUCAUUCUUAUAUAUAGAUGAAUGUUUAAAUUUAUAAAAGGACUAUAUAAUAUAUAAGUAGUCAUAAAUUAUCAAAUAUAUUUGAAUUUAUAAAAUAAUUUUUAGUGGUAUAAAACAAAAUAAUUUUUUAAAACAUUUUAAUACUAGUAUAAUAAAACAGAGAAAAUAUUAAUUUAGUUUAGUGAUUAUGACUUUUUGAAUCUCACGAUGACCUUAUUAGUUUAUUUACGUAACAUCAAAUUUCCGAUAACUUAAUAUAUACACAAAAAAAAAUUGGAACUAUAAGUCUAAGACGACAAAAGAAAAAUAACGUGGCAUAUGCCAGUUGAAUCCAGCAGCGUGAUAAACGCGGCGGGAACGUUCGUUGUUGUCAAAAAAACUGCGCGUUCCUACCAUGACAGCUAUGAAACAGGAGUAACAAAGGAAAGUAGUCGUUUUUUUCUUCCUUAUCAGUUUCAAUUCUACUUAAUGGUGCUCGUAGUUUUGGAUGCAAAUUUACUCUCUUUUUCCCAACUCUAGCUCCAUAUUUCCAGAUACAUUUACUUUUAUCGUGUAAUGGUAACAGUUGUUAGAAGUUAAUCAAAAAAGUUAUUUCCUCUUUUCUUAAGGUAAAUUUCCUUUUUAUAAUAAUUAAAUCGUGACCAAGUCAAAUUCCUUAUGUAAAAAACUUCUGAAAAAUACUACAUUGUUACUAAGUCGUUGAAGUUUGUAGCUGAUGAAGGUGCCUGAAAUUCCGAUUAUAAAUCUUAUAGUCUUACGUAUAUAAUCAUUUUCCUAAAAAAUUACGAAAAUUAUGAAGUCUCCACAUUGAUCUCAUACUAUAGUGUAAGAUUUUUAUUUAUAUUUAUUUUGAGUGCUCUAUAUAUAUUGUUGUCAACAGAGUCUUAAUUAUAUAUUUAAAUUAAUAUCAAUUAGAACUUACAUACUCAGGAAUAACAUCAAAAUACUUUUCUCAAUGUUCAAAAAGCUAACUUGUGAGAAAAAAAUAUGUGGAAAUGUCCAUCGAAAAACGUUUAUUUGAACGGAAAACUAUAAUUAGCUUUUCAUCAAAUAUUUGAUCAAGAAUUAUUCAACUCAUUUGAAUAUUUUUUCGUACGACUUUUAGUAGAUGGAGUUAACUUUUGUUUAAGAAGGUUAGAAUUUACUUAGACAUUCAAAUACGUAGGCUUUAUAAAAAAAAAAUAAUCAAAUACGUAUAGAUUACUUUCGUUUUUUAUUUUGCGAGUGGAACGAAAACUCAUGGAAAAUAUUGCGGGAGUCGUUGACUCCUUGUCUGGCCUACUUGUACGGUUGUACACUUGUGCCAUUCCUUUUUUUUUUUUUUUUUUUUUGGCAUGUAUCAUUCCUUAAUUCUUGAACAGGUUAUAAUAAUGUGCAAAAAAUUAAUUUUUAAAAUAGAGUGAAGCUAGAAAUUUCAGGUUUCUUAGGAUGAUUAUCUGAUCAUGUUUGCACGUAAGGUACAAGUACAACUAAUAAGUCUUAACCACGUAAUAAAUAUAUAUAUAUAUAUAUAUAUAUAUAUAUAUAUAUAUAUAUAUAUAUAUAUAUAUAGAAAAUAUCGAUUUUUGAGAAUAUGUAAGCAUAUUAUCAAAACAUCAUUUGUAGAAGAAAAAAAACAUAACUUUCGAAUCUCUCAUGUAUUGGAAACAUCUGUUUGGGUUAACGUGUAACUAAUUUCGAUGUAACCUUUAUUUUUUGGUUGAUUUCCAUGGAACUUAUUUGUAAUUUGUUUUCUAGUCCCAUUUUAUAUAUUUUUCAAGUAUAAAUUUAUAAAUGGAUGUAGCACAAAAUACAUUAAUUCGACAGCUUCAAUUUUCCAAUCAUUGCGUCAAGGUUUCAAAUAGUCUUCUCAUUAUCUGAAAAGCUACAUUUUACGGCCAUUCUACUUGGAGGAAGAGCAACUAACGUCCAACAACACUCGAGAGCCGCACACUGAUCAUAGUCGCAUAUAUACGAUUCUAUAUACAUAUAUUUUUCUAUGUGGAAAUUCCCCUUAAUGUUUCUAAUAAAAGAUAAACGCCCCUUAUUAAUGUUUAAAAAGCUAACUUGUAAUAUCAGUCGUAAAUUUUUAUUUCAAAUCGAUUUGCAUGUGUUUCUAAUUAAAUCGUAUGUGUGUGCUAUAUAUUUGUAAAUAACUAAUCAAAAACUAGUUUGUAUAAAUUUGAGAUAGAUUGGCCAUAUACUAUUGAAGGACAAUGAUCAUAUAUUGUUAUAACAGGAUUCGCGCAGGAGUUACGUUGCCUAAUCUUAUAGCUUGCCUUGGAUAUAUCAUGCAUGCAUGCAUCACAAUGUGUGACGUUACCAUGUGUUGUUUUUGUCAGCAUACUUUGUGGAAUAAAAGCUCCAUUUGAUAAUGAAUCAAUUAUUUAUUAUAGUGCGAUCUAUCAACUAUAAUACUUGCGUGUAAAAUAUUCUGACACUGAAAAUAAUUAUAGUUAAUCACUAUAUAUAAUCGAUUCAUCGUAUUUGUAACUAGGUUUGCAAAUUAAUUUAUCUAUUUCUUACAGUCUAAUUUGCUACCGAAGUAAUUAAAUCGACGUAUCAUCUAGCCAUCCAAACUUAAUCAAUUCGUAUAUCAACCAUAUAAGAUUUUUUUUUUUUUUAUUAGUUGUGAAAUUUGGAACUGAACUCUAGACGUCUGGAUGGUUAGAGACUAAAACGGAUAAUUUAAUUCCCUCCAAAAUAAUGUUUUAAUCCUAGUGUUUCUGGAACUUCCAUCGUUCUAAAAUACGACCAGACAUAAGAUUUAAAAAACCAGAAAUUUUGGGUAAGAAAGCACAUUGCAAAGUCCGUUGACUUAAUCUAAAGAGUAAGUCACCCGACAGGAGCCACUCUCAAGUGUUCCUAACAAGUGACAACGAAUUUAAUAGUGUUUUUACAUAUAUGACAAAUGGAAAUGAUAGGAUAUGGUGUGGAUUUCCAUUUUGAUAGGAUAUGAUGGGGAUUUCCAUUUUGAUUCCGAUCGAGCCUUCGAAAAAUAUUACAUAUUCCCUUUGUUUCACAAAAAGUGUCAUUCUACACUUUUACACACAUAUUAAGAAACUAUUAAAAUUUCUAUUAUACCUUUUAUUAAAACACUAAACAAAAUUCUCUCUUAUUAAUACAUUAAUGAAAUAAGGUUAAAAUUAGAUUUUUACUCAAAAUUUUGCAUUGAAAAUACAAAAUGUCACUAUUUGUGAAACAAAAAUAAAAUCUUAAAAUGACAUUCUUUGUAAAACGGAGGGAGUAUUUUAAAAAGACAGUGGCUGGGAAACCUACUACAGUAUUCGAUAAAGACAGUGAAAUCAAGACAAAAGCCUCGCUGUUACAUUGGGAAAUUUUGAACAAUUACAAUUAUGUUAAGAUUAUGAAAUCUCCCAUUUGCCAACAUAUGUUUCCACUUAAUGACCUAAACAUUGGUAUUAGCUUUUAAAUAUACCAAGUUAGUUAAUAGAUAUUAUCAAAAAUGAAAUUCUUCAUUUAAAAAAAAAUCUUAUGGUUAAUUUGCUAACAUAUUUUCCCACUAUAAUUGAGCCAAUUCAACUGGCGGAGAACAAUAUUCAAUGCGUAAAAGAAAAAUUAUUUGCCAUAGGGUAAAUGCUAAUUAUUUGAAUUGAGAUUAUAUGUCAGCAUCGUUUUUCAUGUUUAAGCGUAUAAAUUAGUACAUCUUAUUGUUGCUUAGUCACUUCAUAAUCUUAUCAAUUGUUCGAAAGAAAGUUAGGUGAAUGGAUUUAUUAGUAAUUAUUGGACGAAAAUUUGUGCCUGACGUUGCAUAUAUAUCCGAAAAGCUCUACAUUAAAAGAAGUUGACCUAUAAAUACCUAUAGCAAGUCUUUAGAUACUAAAUUUCCAUGAACUUCCACAUAUCUACUAUAUAUCUUGUGAUUCUCGUUUGCAUCUCUGUCAGAUAAUGCAGAGUCAUGUGCGUGACAUGAUACUCGGUGACCUCAUAACACAUCUUACCAACCUUUCAUUAAAUGAAAAAAUGAUUAUUGAUACUUAAUUUUUUUGGUCCUGAUCGAUCUAGUAAUUGUUGGAAAUUUGGAAUGCAGUGUACUUAAUGGUCUAUCAUUUGGAAAAAUGGAAAGAAACAACAGUUGUAUCGUAUCACAAGAUAAACUUGGACAUAUCUUGAUUAAGUCAAUGACCCGCUCCACAAAAAGAUCAUAUCUUGUAGUAUACCAUAUUACCCUAAAGGAGAGCUGCAAAUUGUUUUGGCAAAUCCCACAAACCAGGAUAAAACUGAGAAAGACAAUUUUGUUUUGUAAACAAUUGAUGAUAGGAUCAACCACAGCUUGUUUGAAACAUUUUUAUUUGUGGUUUCGAUGAUCAUUUAUUAUUAAUUUAAAAUAUUUUCUUCUCUUUUCUUUCAUAAAAUUUUGGAGAUCCUUGACAUGCAUAUAUUUAUCACAAAAAUGAUCAAAAAGGGAUAUCGUCUAUAACUCGUUCAUAUAUUCACACUAUCCAAGUUAAACAUGGAUACGACAAAACAGUGAGUGGUACAUAUACAUGUCAAGGUUGACUCUUCGUUCUUUUAUUUUAGCAGGUCAAGAAAACAAUAAUGAGGAAAGAAUAUAUCUAUGAAAUGUUAUCUAUGAAAUAUAUCUAUAAAAAAUCACCCUCACCUAAAAAAAAGUAUAUGGCCUUUCAGGUUCUUGGAGUUUGUGAUUUUUGGUCGAGUUUGAAAUAGAAGGUGUUUAGAUAAACUAAUUUGCUGGUCUUAUAUAUGAUGUUGUUAGCUAAGAUAAAAUAAUAGCCACAAACAUGAUUUUGUUAUUGGAUUAGCUAGAUACUUUCAUCUCCAUUACCAAAUCUAUAAAUAUCAAAUGCCAAAAUCUGUAAGCAAAUUUUCAAAGAAUGGCAUCAAAAAUUUCCAAACACAUGAAUCAUCAUUUCCGAACUAAAAUAGGGAAAAAGAUACAAGCUAUUUAGUCGGUCAGUGUUCUUCAAGCUUUGAAAGUGAGAGGUUACCAUAUUUUCCUAGCGCCACCUGAUGAUACCGUCGAACUAGGAGUGCUAGGUGAUACGGUAAGCGAAGUAUGGCCUUGUGCAAGCCUUUUAGAUUGAGGAUACCCGAAGCAGCGAGGAUACUGUAGGUGUUGCUUAACCAAAGGGCUACAAAAGCGGAAGAGCAGAUGUUUUCAUCUUUCUUGUGUUGAACACUGUUUUGGGCUCGAAUGAUUUGCAGUUUUAGCCCUUCCCCAUGAAUGUGUAUAGAUGUUUGUGUUUUGUAACCAACUCAUGAUAUGGUAGGAAUAGGAUUCACCUAGGCCCAGUGGCGGAGCCAGAGAAUUUCAUUACUUUAGGUACUAUUUUUGGCUUUUAAAUAUUAAUAAAACAUAACGGAGAAUAACAUCAUGUAGUAUUGUCACAAACCCCAUAACUUAUAUAUGAUUUUACAUAAAAAUAGAUAAAAUUUUAAAGAAAUAUUUAAAUCUUUGUAUGAGAUAUGAGUACUGUAGUCUCAAUAACUAUUUCCUAAUUUUGUUUUUUAUACAAAAGGUAUAAAAUAUAAAUAUUUUUGUUUAUCAAGAUGUAUAAGAAUGAAAAAAAAAUUAAUAUGUAAAACAGAUAAAAAUUAUGUAUUAAAACUUAAAAAGACUAAAGAGACACAUAAAUAAGAACAAUUAAAUAAAGAAAAUUUGUAAGAGGGGGUCAAAAGGAGUAGUUUAACGUGAGCCAAAGGGGUCAACUGAGAAGAAUCAAGCCAAAAUAAGCCAUUAUGUACCAUUUAAAUAAGCAUGCAAACAAGAAUUCUUAAAUGUCAUGGGGGUCAACUGACCCCCUUGGUUAUGAGUUGGCUCCGCCCCUGCCUAGGCCUUGUUUCGAAUAUUCGUAUAUAUGGCGAUUUUUUCAAAUAUAUAGUUGAUCACUCUUUGUAGUGAUGAAAAUUUCUUCUUCUAUUAGUUUUUCAUAAUUCUUUGGAGAUUAGUCUUGAAGUAUAUAACUUUUGUCAUGUGAUUUUAUCACAAAAUUGAUCAAAAGGUUGUUGCCUAUUGCUUUAUAAUAGUAAGAAGCUUGAAGAGGAAGUAACCAAAUAAUGCCCUAAUUUUGACACGUUCUAAAUAAUAUAUAUAGUUCCAGGGGAUAAAUAUGCAAGAGUUAGUGGGAUGUUAUUGGACAUUCUUUUCUGGGCACUGGACAAUCCUGACAAGUAUGGUAAGGACCCAAAUUUGGUGGUAAUCUCAAAGAACAUCAAAGAAGAAACAGACUUCGUCACUACUCUCGAAGCUUUGGAAGGGAGACAUUUCAAUGUUUUCUUAGCACUGCCUGAUAAAGUCCAACCAGGAGUGCUACGUCCUCGUGUAAACGCAGUAUGGCUUUGGAGUAGCCUAUCAUUUGGAGGAAAGUCUAUCGACCAAACUCCAAUCUCACAACGUCUUAAGCUCUGUUUUGGUUCCUAAUGAUUUGCAGUUUUAUUCCUUUCCCAUCAAUGGAUAUAUAAGCUCUUUUCUUCAGUGUCUCAAACUUUAUGAUAUAUGUAAAUUAUAUCUCUUAAAUCAAAUCAAAGUUUGCUCACGUCUAUAUCUAUCUGUUUCGUAUAUCCACUUUAGGGAUGUUGUAUGAUUCAGCAACAAGAAAACUAAUGAGCUUUAAUUGAGUUUUACUUGGUUUGCUCUGUAGAUGUUGUCAGGAACUCAAUAUUAAAAGAUGUAUAUAUAAUUAGAGAGUACUAGUUAAGGAAUUUUAUGAGACAUUUGAAAGUUGUUGCUGAAUUGAGUCUCCGAGCAUUUUAGCCAGGAUAUGUUCAUCAGAAACCUUGCGAUGAACUGUCCAGGUGGAUACAUUUUGAGCAGCAGCCAGUGCCUGCCCAUUAAAAGAUGACCUGUAUGUGAGAUUGUUGUGGCACAAGAACAGAGCUCACUAUCAAUGUUUCUUUUGUAAGGUGCAUUAAAUCUGAGCCUUUAUAAUUUUCCCCACUCUGUUUCUAACUUGCUUAAUUGUGUUAUUACAGACAUCAGACACACUUAUACAAGUCACCAUUUUCAGAAGAUCCUAUUUGUGUCCUUAAUGCAAACACUGGUGUGACUAUACUUCCACAAGAUAGAGGAUUCAAUCGAGAACCGUGAUGAGGCCAUCUUCUAAGCAAUAUUCGCCUGAGAGGUAAACCCAGUUCCUGAAUGCUUUUACAGAGAUCUAUUCCUCCAACACAAACAGCAUUCAUUCCUGUAUCUAUGUCAAACAACUGCAGUUGAUUCCUUCAGAGAUCUCAGCUUGUCAGCUUGUCUUACUCUGCUAAAUGGGGAUGCAAAUGUCUUCUUAAAAGGCGGUUGAUAUGUAGAAUUGUAUAAUAUGAUUAAAGACAUAUGAAAGUAAGUGAUGCUUAUAAAUAUAUCUCAAGACUAAUCUGUAUACAGAAUCUUGUUUUAUUGAAUAGAAGAAUGUAAAAAGAAUCAACAAAAGCUCUGAUUUUAAGAUCUCUGAGCAUGUCAAAAAGCUUAAAGCUUUGAGAUGAGAGAAUGGUAAAAAGUAGCACGAGAUAGGUAAGUGACUUUCAUGGUCUCCUUGAUCUUGAACUCAACAGUCACCACCGACAGAUUCCUCCCAGUCCUCACCACCGAUCCCUCCACAACCAAUUCACUCUGCAAAAUCUCACACAAUUAAGCUUCUCUGAUUUGAAGAUCAGAGUCUUGAGAGACAAGAAUGAAUGUUUGGUGGUGGCUUACCGAAAUAGAAGCAGAAGAGAGAUAAGACAUACUCAAUUCACCAAGGAACAGCUGUUUGUCUUCAGACACAACAGUUUUCACACAAGCCAUCGCUACUCUCUCUGCAAUUGAUGCCACUGCUCCUCCAUGUAACCCAUUAAAGAAAUUCUGAUUUCACAACACAACCAAUCAAUUUUACAAAUCAAAGAUCGAAACUUUACGAAACCCAUUUGAUCUAAUUGCAAAAAAUAAACAGAGAGAUGGAGGAGAUGAUUACGGCUAUGCCUGGCGUGACGAUGACGGAGCACGAGACACGGCCGCGUGAGAUGGAGAGAGCUCUGGUGUUGCUUUGAAAUAAGACAGAGAAAGAAUCGAAAGAGGUGAAAUCGUUGCAAGAGGAGUCUGGGGAAAUAGCUUUGAAGAAAUCAGCAACCAUUAAUACGUAAUUUGGAUCGAUUUCUUUGGAUACAGCCGUCGUCUCUGACGAGAUCGGAGAAGACGACAUUGUGGUGUCGUCUGGGCACCCAGUUUCACGGAAUUUUUCCCAAUUCAUUUUUUAACCUAAUCUGAAUUUUUUUCAAAAUUGAAUUUUUUUUUUUGUAAAAUGUUGACUUUUCUCUCUUUUGUAAUUAAUUUUUUUCUAUUUUUAGAAAGUAAAAAACAGUAAGAAAAUUUUUAGGUGAAGUGUACAAAAAACUACAGCCACAUUUUUAAAAAAAUGCCGAUCUAUUAGUUUAUUCACUAUUUUAAAAUUUUGAAUUAGAAAAUAUAUUCAAUUGGAUUUAUAAAAUUUUGUUUUUUUGAGAAAGUGUAACUAAUGAAAAUAAAUUGGUGAAAAAAAAAUAUGAGCAUCUUAUUGCUUAUACAUUAUACAUCCUGAUAUAACCCUUUUAUUUAUCAGAUUUAUUCAUAUAUAAUAUGUUUUAUUUUACAGUGAUAUAAAUAUAUUAGUUUAAACAGAAUUGAAAAAGUUCAAACAUUCUUGACUUGUUUGUAAAUCCACUAGGUUGCUCUCGAAACCUGUUAAACAUAUGAGUUCAAAGUUUCAUAUCGGUGUGUAUAAUAAUAAAUAAGUAGUUAACAUCACAAAGGUAUAUAAUUACCUAAAGUUUCCCAGCAAGCAUGUAUGCUUUGUAGAAAACAUUCUUGACUUGUUUGUCAUCACCCCAAGCUUCCUUAAACUCAUCAAUCAUACAAGAAGUUAAAAGAUCUUCCCCUUGCUCCUUUGCCUUCACUAGAGGCUGCCAUGAUUUUAAAAACCCUAAAAAUCCAUUAAGCGAAAGCUUGUGUGGAAUCUCAAGAGCUUUAGGCCUUCCUUGAGUCCCCAUUCUUAUGUUUUUAAAAGGAAACUCUAUUGUUCUAUAACCAUCAAACGCCAAAUUCAUAGUCGGGUUUCUGAACGGUAAUGUUGAAUCCACCAGACGUUUCAUGAUGGAAUCAACCUUUGGGGUGAUGAUGAGAUCGUUGUAAACCCAAACUGCGAUGAUACCACCUUGUUUACGAAGAACACGUUUCACUAUGGGGUAGAAUCUCUUAAGGUCAAAGUAGUGAAGAGCUUGAGCAGCUAUUAUGAUAUCUAUGGAGUUUUCUCCACCGAGUAGAGUCACUAGAUCGUCGUCGGACAUUGAUGAUGGAGUGUGAUGGUAAGUGACUUUUGGGUGCUUCAUUGCACGUUGGAGUUGUGAUUCAUUUAUAUCAGUUGCCACCACUUUCUCGUAGUACUCAGCGACCUAAUUACAUAAUAUAUAGUUGACUCAUGAUUAGUUCAUUGAGGCAUCACAUACAAAUUAUAUAUUGUGGUUUAAAGAGUUUUUGAGGAAAUGAUAUGUAUCAAAAAGUUCGAAAUAAGACUCUAUAUUCAUUUGUCGAUUAUAAUUUUCUAAGUCGUCUAAAAACUAUUGUUUUUAUAGAAAGAAAACAAACCCCAAUAGCAGCCUGACCGUUGCCGGUCCCAACAUCCCAAGCCACCUUAUGGUUGCUGGUUCGACCAGCCAACACUUUGUACCAUAAUGUAGGAUAUUUCGGCCUUGCGUUCAAGUACUCAUCAGCUUGCUUUCCCGACAAAGCAACCAAUUGAGCCAUUUUUCUCUUGUUUCUUUUGGUUAAUAGAUUGCAAUUUUGCUUCAUAAUUAAUAUUAUUUAUAGUUUCGAAAAUCUGGAAAAGAAAAAACGCGAAUCUCAUACCUUACUCAACUAGAUUAGGUCUUAAGUCUAUUUAUUCUUUGAAGAUAAGGAUGCUAGAAAAGAUGAUAUAGAAUUUACAGAAAUAUAACGUCUAACAUCGCAUUUAUGCUGCAAUCCACUAUAAAAGAACAUGUUUAUUAUUAUUCCUCACCGAAUUGAAAUAACAAUUAUCGCAUAGGUUAACUACGUUAUAGAUUUGUCCGCAUUAAGGAAAAUGGAUUAGAAGAAAAAAAAAAAGGAAUGGGUGAUAAAUCACACCAAACUUAAGGUAACACAAUAAUACAUCGGUUUUUAUAUGUAUAGUAAGAUAUGCAUAUUUUGAUUAUGAUAAAUUCAGAUGUUCUCUUUUUAUCUGGUUAACUUUCUUUUAGAUUCACCUUUACUGAUUUACAUCAACUUUAUACAGUAUCACAUCAAACAUAUGUAUACUGACAGUAUAUGUACAUCAAACAAAUGUUCUCUUUUUUUCUUCAUGAUGUCAUAAUGGUUGAGAAAAUUGCAGAACAAAAACUAUUAUUACAAUUAUGUUUUAUACGCCUAUUAAAGAAGAUGAUCAAACCCUAACACUCUCUACAAAAAGAACAAAGUUAGAACCACAAUAAAAUCCUCUGCCCAGAGAAACUAAAAUUGAAUUAAUGGAGAACAGAGGAGGCAACGUGACGUGACGGUUAAGUAACUAAAAUAAAAUUAAGUUUAAUUAAUUUUUGAUGGUUUAGUAAUUGACAAAUAAACCCAGAAGUGAAAAAAAGGAAACAACACAUGAGUUUGAAAAAAAAAGGAAAUUUGAAUCCCAAACACAUGUGAAAAAAGGAAACAACAGAAAAAAGGAAACUUGAACCCUAAACAAAUGAGUUUAUAAAGAGUCUCAUCGUUUUAGUAUCAUCGAUCAUCCAAACAAACCAGAGAAACAAGAAACAGAGAGAGAGAGAGAGAGAGAGAGAGAGAGUUAUAUAGUGAGAAAUAGUCUCAUCGUUAUACUCUCAACACUUAUAAACCCUAAUUUUGCUCUCUCUCUUUAUCUUUGAUCAAUUCUUCACAACUUCUUCGUCUUGGCGCUGAUCUUUGAUCCAGAUGCGGAAUUUUUGUCUUUAGGUUUCGAGAGAAGGACUUAGCGUGUUCAAAUCAUCAUGAUGCGGGAUGCAACAGAGCAGUUUUGAGGAAUCGAGACUACAUGUGGAUUGCUUCGCCAAUUGCAGGUUUUUUCUUGAAUUCACAUCUUCGCGGCUGAGGGAGGAUGAAGAAGAUAGAAAAUCAGAGUUUGGUAUGGCCUAGGCAAUGGGCUUCGCUGUCUCGGCCCAUCUCCAGGUAUGACUUUCUUAAAUUUGUUUUUUUUUUUAUAUUUAAUAAAGAUUUUGAUUUUUCACUUUGAUUUUAUGAUUUCAAACUAAAUUUUAAAAACUAAAAAACUAAAAAUAAACUUAAUAACUAAAAACAAAACUAAGUGUUAAAUUGAAAAACGUUGAUAAACAAGUUCGACUUAGCAUCCCGUCCUUUUGGUCCGUAAGUCUUGAGGUAUCAUAAGUUUAACAUGUUUUCACGUAAUGAAAAUUUAACACUUAGUUAUGUUUUAAAAAAUUUUAAAAUAAUAUUUUAAGUAAAACUUUUUAAAAAACUUAAUAACUAAAAAUAAUGUUAAUAACUAAAAACAAAACUAAGUGUUAAAUUUAAAAACGUUGAAAAUAAGUUCGACUUAGCAUCCCGUCCUUUUGGUCCGUAAGUCUUGAGGUGUCAUAAGUUUAACAUGUUUUCACGUAAUGAAAAUUUAACACUUAGUUAUGUUUUAUGUUUUCACGUAAUAGAAUUUAACAUUUAGUUAUGUUGUAAACGGUCUUUAAAAAUUAUAUUUAAAGUAAUUUUUUUUAAAAAAACUUAAUAACUAAAAACAAAACUAAGUGUUAAAUUUAAAAACGUUGAAAACAAGUUCGACUUAGCAUCCCGUCCUUUUGAUAUGUAAAUCUAGAGAUGUCAUAAAUUUAACAUGUUUUCACGUAUAAUAAAAAUUUAACAUUUAGUUACAUCAACUUUAUACAAUAUCACAUCAAACAUAUGUAUACUGACGGUAUGUAUAAUACUGUAUAUGUACAUCAGACAAAUGUAUUACUUUCCCCUUUUUAAAUUUUUCCUAGAGGAUAUACUAAAGGUAACAAAGUUUAUGUCAAGAAUGUUUAAGACUAGAUAAUUUAUCUGUGUGAUGACUGAUGAGUUUCAUGUCCUGCAUGUGAGGUUAUUGUUUCUCCAAAGAUUAUAGAAAUGUGAUAUAUAUAUAUAUAUAUAUAUAUAUAUAUAUAUAUAUAUAUAUAUAUAUAUCUUCUACUUUCUCAAAAGAUUAGUUUUGUUGCCAUUUUUUAAAGAGAUCCAAAAAAAGUAUUUUAUUCACUGUCACCGCGCCUAUAUUAGCUAGUUAUCUCAAAUAGGCAUCAAGAAAAAAAGAGCUGUAAAUAAUGAAAAUCUACGUCACAUGUAAAUAUACUAAACGUGUUCAACUUUAAAUAAGACAAGAUGAAAAAAAACGGCGUCGGAUUAGAAGUCUAAUCUCCCAAGAACAUCAAUUUGUGAGCUACGUGGCUUGGUUGGCCUCCACACUCGUCGUAUGGUUUCUGUGCAUUCACUGCAUGCGCAUAAGAAGAAAAAAAAAAAGAAACGCCAAUUAUUGAUACUCUUUGCCUGAAACCCAAAAGAAAAAUAGGUUCGAAAAUGGCAGAGGAAACUCCAAGGUAUGUCUCAAAUCUUCUCUUACUUCUUGAUUUAGUCUGUAAUUUUAGUGAGUUUGGUUCUGAUUUUCUCAGAUUUUUUAAUGGUUUUUGUAGAUAUGCUGUAGUUACUGGAGCAAACAGAGGGAUUGGAUUUGAGAUAUGCAGACAAUUAGCUAGUCAGGGGAUUAGAGUUGUUUUGACAUCUAGAGAUGAGAAAAGAGGACUUGAAGCUGUUGAGACACUGAAGAAAGAGCUUCAGAUUUCUGAUCAAAGCCUUGUUUUUCAUCAGCUUGAUGUCUCUGAUCCUGCUAGUAGCACAUCUCUUGCUGAGUUUGUGAAAACCCUAUUUGGGAAACUCGAUAUCUUGGUAAGAUUAGUGAACUCUCUUUGAUCAGUUUACGUCUUAAUCUGCUCCUAGCUAGUAGACGAGUGAUUAAGCAGGGACAUAAUGGAGCCGUACCUUUAGGUUUGUCUAGUUUCUGAACUGUACCAUUUUUGUGUAAUGUUGAAUGAUAUUUUUGAUUGCUUUACAGGUCAAUAAUGCAGGGGUUGGUGGUAUAAUCACUGAUGCUGAUGCUCUAAGAGCUGGGGCAGGGAAAGUAUGAUAGUCUUUGUGUUUAUAUAUUUUGCAAUCAAUUACUUUCAUGAUAUUAUUUUGGUAUUGAUGAUCUUUGUGAAGUUGAAUGGUUUCUUCUUAUAUUUGAUAUGGCAGGAAGGUUUCAAGUGGGAUGAAAUCAUCACGGAGACUUAUGAGUUAGCUGAAGAAUGCAUCAAGAUUAACUAUUAUGGACCAAAGAGAAUGUGUGAGGCGUUUAUUCCUCUUUUGAAGUUAUCUGAUUCACCAAGAAUCGUCAAUGUAUCAUCCUCCAUGGGUCUACUAAAGGUAAGUAAAAAAGAAUAGAUAUCAAGAAAGCUUGAGAGAUGUAUUGUUGGCUAAGAAACACUAUUUACGUUACAAUUGAUUAUUGUUUACCAGAAUGUACUAAACGAAUGGGCAAAAGGAAUCCUGAGCGAUGCAGAGAAUCUCACGGAUGAAAGAAUCGACCAAGUGAUCAACCAACUUCUCAAUGAUUUCAAAGAAGGUACAGUUAAGGAAAAAAAUUGGGCUAAAUUUAUGUCAGCUUAUGUGGUUUCGAAGGCCAGUUUGAAUGGUUACACGAGGAUCUUGGCGAAGAAACAUCCCGAGUUUCGCGUAAACGCGGUGUGUCCUGGAUUUGUUAAGACAGAUAUGAACUUCAAGACUGGAGUUUUGUCUGUGGAAGAAGGAGCAUCAAGUCCUGUGAGGUUGGCUUUGCUUCCGCAUCAAGAAACUCCUUCUGGUUGUUUCUUUAGCCGCAAGCAAGUUUCAGAAUUCUGAAUUUUCUGUGUGAGAAUUAUAGUUUGAAUGUAGAACAUAAACUCUUACAUAAACAAAAACUUUAUAGUGUUUGCUUUGCUCUGCCGCUGAGUGUGUUGAGUGUUACAAAACCUUUCAAAUUCAAUUAUGCAGACGUUUUCGCUUUUGUAAUUGCAUUUUUGAGCAUUCAAAAACUGAACUUCCUAGAUGCUAACCAAAAUGUGAAACUUCCCAAGUAGGCUGAUUCUGUUCUAAGUUCAAGUUGUAAAAAGAUACGAUUUAAUGGAUUUUACAGCAAGAGUUGUGCUUCUACUGUUUCUUUUUUCGGGUUUGAAGCACUUAAGAGUGAACAAGUCCACAGAGGCUAAGCUAGUUAUUAUAUGGCGUCUAAACAUUACUCAUAAACUUGAAUAAAAUCACUUUACAAAAUUAUAGAAUAAUAUGCAGUUCCAUAAAAAGAAACAAAACAAAAUUUGAGUCUACUUCAUUGCAGUACUUAAAAAAUAUGUGCUCUUUAACAAUUUAUGAUUAUAUAUUUCACAAAGGAACUCCUGGAUUUACUUAGGACGACUCAUGUUCUUCACCUGCUGCAUCAGAAGUGUCUUCUUCUGUAGGGUUUGCUUCAUUUUCUUUGGGUUCGGUUUUGUCUUCCUCAGCCGCUGUGCGACGGUGGUUAGCCGCAGCUUGGAGAACAUGAUUGUAAUUACCUUUCUCAAGGAAAAGCUGACUGAAAUGGACCUUACAGUAGAGGAUACCAUCGAGAGCAGCAUAUGAAGAAUGUGUUAAUGGACAACCACUAUGUGCACAUCUGAAGCAAGUCUUGUGGUAAGAUUCUCCUUCCAUUGUCAUUUUCUCUAGAGGAUAAACUGUUUUCUUACAAGCUGCACAUUUGUCUUGUGUUCCGCUAAAGAACGAAGAUAACCUGUUUGGAGCCCUCGUCUUUGCAGAUGAUCACACCAAGAAAUCAGAUUAGAAAACAAAAAGAGAAAACAGAGGAAUGUUGAUGAAUUAUGUGCAUACCGUUUCAUUCGAUUUCUCGGUCUUUCCUGCUGUAAAAGAUCAAGAAGAGAAAGUAGCCAAGAUUGUUAGCUUUUUUCAACAGAUGUUAAUAAAAGAACAGAGCUAAAAAAACAGAGGAUUUUUUAGCAACCUGUUUGGAAAUUUUUGCUGAAAUUUCCAGAUUCUUUGAAGAGCUGUUCAAAAUGGGUCUUGCAAUACAAAACUCCAUCCAUGGAUGAGUAGUUACAUAUCUGCAAAGGAGAAGAAAGAUUUUCUCUUUGUAUUUUUCAUAGAAACAAAGGUACAAUGGAGGAAAAAAGAAGAAGAUAGAUAGAUACCACGAGAGUGCCAUUGCAAUGGCUGCACCUGAAGCAUGACUUGUGAUAAGGCAUUCCUUCCAAUGUCAUCAAGUCCAUAACGUAUACCGUCUUGUCACACGCCUUGCAUUUGUCUAGUGUCCCUGUAAACGCCGCCAUUGUUAUCUCUUCUUCUUCUUCUUUCAAAUCACGAAAGAGAUGGAUCAAAGUUUUUGUUGUCGUUCGUUUAGACACGAAUGUUUUUCCCCAUCUAUGAGCUCUCUGCCUUUUUAUUAUAUCAAAAUCUAGGAUUGAGAUUUUAAGGGGUAAUAUUUUCUACUAAUGGUUGAGAUUCGAAUGAGGAGAGCCCUUAAAAUGUUUAAUCAUCUAUAUUCUAUAAUCUAAUUCUGGCUAUCAUCAAAAACCAAAACACUAUUACCCCCGAUUAGGUGCAAAGCUUAUAUAUAGCUAGCUACCCCCGUGUUUUAGGAAACUCACCACUAUCUCUGAAUCAACUUCCAACUCCAAUCUCGUGAUACGCUUCUCCCAAGCUAUAUAUAACCCGUAAUACACACCCCAUAACUCCGCUAAAGGUGCCGAGCAUAUACCAAUGUUCAAAGCGAAUCCACCUCCCCAACUCCCAUUUCCGUCUCGCAGCACUCCUCCUGCCGUGGCCAGGCCUGGAUUGCCACGGGAAGCUCCGUCGGUAUUAAGUUUCAUCCAACCUUCACCCGGCGGUACCCAUUGGAUCAGCCUCUCCUCCCGUGCUACCUGACUAGUACCUUCCAACACACGCAAGCUUGCUGUGUAUACUUCUUUGGUUUGGUCCUUAAGAAAACGCACUCUAUCCCUACAUUUCCAAUCAGCACCAAAGACAUUCCCGCAACGCCAUUUCCAAGCCCACCAAAUUCCCAUAGCAAACAUCGUCGACCAUGGACCACCCUCCGUAUCCGCAUCAUUACCCAAAUUACUAUAGAGCCAUUCAAGCACAGACUGCGCAGUAAAACGCUGGAUUCUUUGUACAGCCACUGUUCUCCUCCAAAUCCCCAUCAUAGCUUCACAAUCCCGCAGGAUAUGCAAUAUAGUUUCAUCACCACUCUUACAGACCGAACAGAGACUUGUGUCACUCAAGUGGCGUCGGUGUCUCUCAGCAUUUGUCAUGAUCACCUGGUGUACCACCAACCAAAUGAAAGCACGCACACGUUCCGGUGCCACCACUCGCCACACACGAUCAAAGAAUUUACCCAUGUUCUGUUUUGGUGAGCUGUCGCGGGCAAGAAAGGAGUAGGCUGAUUUGACCGUAAACUCACCAUUGACACUCUCCCCCCAUGAGUAUCGAUCCCUAGCUCCCGUAACAUUAUCCACAACCAUCGAUGCAAGCCGCAAAUUAACACUCUCCGAAGUGAACUGCUUCACAUGAGCAAAAUCCCACCCGUAACCAUUCCGCCAUAAGGCAUUGACCCUGACCUCUUUAAAACUUGCAGGUAGAUCCCGGUUUGCCAAACCACACUACAUUACAAGACUGCCUUUUAACCACAUCUUUAACCUUUUUUUUUUUUUUUUAACAUCUUUGGAUCGACAAGGCCCGAUCCAUAGCCAAUCCCUACUACGCGGGGUAACGCGAUUUAGUGGAGUCGAACUCC
rnacentral:lncRNA from 1 species